ensembl:lncRNA
GGGUUAGGGUUAGCGGUUAGGGUUGGGGUUUGGGUUAGCGGUUAGGGUUAGGGGGUUAGGGUUAGGUUUUAGGGUUAAGGUUAAGGUUAGGGUUAGGUUUUAGGGUUAAGGUUAGGGUUAGGUUUUAGGGUUAAGGUUAAGGUUAGGGUUAGGUUUUAGGGUUAAGGUUAAGGUUAGGGUUAGGUUUUAGGGUUAGGGUUAGGUUUUAGGGUUAAGGUUAGGUUUUAGGGUUAAGGUUAAGGUUAGGGUUAGGUUUUAGGGUUAGGGUUAGGUUUUAGGUUUUAGGGUUAAGGUUAGGUUUUAGGGUUAAGGUUAAGGUUAGGGUUAGGUUUUAGGGUUGGGGUUAGGUUUUAGGGUUAGGUUAGGUUUUAGGGUUAAGGUUAGGGUUAGGUUUAGGGUUAGGUUUUAGGGUUAGGAUUAGGGUUAGGUUUUAGGGUUAAGGUUAGGUUUUAGGGUUAAGGUUAGGGUUAGGUUUUAGGGUUGAGGUUAAGGUUAGGGUUAGUGCUUUUAGGAGGGUGGGCGCUAACCCGUGUGCACAGGCCAUCUAUGUCGUUUGCUCGAAUGGAUUCACUUCACAUUGAGGCCUUGGGGAUGUAUAGUACCUAAUUUCCUAAUCCAGAUCUUUUCUGCUCUUUUUCUCUGGAGCACAGACCACAACGGGUUGGCCUGCAGGACCGUGACGCUGAAUGAGUCCCAUCCGUGCUCCAGAAAGUGUUGGACCAGGUGAUUAGGUACACCGCAUUUUUAGUGUGUACGGUGCCCGAUCGGUUUUGGAAGUUGGACCUAACCCCCCUGGUCAGUUUCACCGCGGCGGACGAGUACGUCAGGACAAAGGGCACGACGGUGCCCUCCGUCUGCGUCCCUUUGGUCAGGUGUUGGAGAAAAAAAAGGUAGUGUAUGGUAUGUAUAAAUGUGCUAUUUUGAGUACUGAGGUAUUUUAGAGUAUUUUUGGAUUUAAGUUUUAGGUAUUAUUAGUAGUGUUCGGUUCGUAUCAGUGUAGUUUCUUUUAAGAAAGGAAGAUAGGGUGUAUUUUCAAUAAAAUAAUGAAUGUAAGUAAAGGGAAUCCUUUCCUUAAACUUUAAUUCAGGUACAGUUAACAAAAUAGAAGGAUAAAUCAGCUGUUGUUUUAAAGCAAUAGUAGCAGGUAGUAUUUGAUUUGAAUCGAGGUACUCUUUUUUUAGAAAGAACGAAUAGGGUGUAUUUUGAAUCAAAAAGUGAAUAUAAUAGUAAAUGUAAGUAGAUGGAAUACUUUCCUUCAGGUUUAGUCUAGAUAAAGUUCAGAAAAAAAAGGAUGAACAAGCCGUUGCAACGUUUCGGUUCCCUCAGAACCUUCUUCAGGCAGGCUUGUUCUGUUAUUUCACAAAAGAAAACAAAAGAAAAUGUUCAAAAUGAAUAUAAUUGAAAAGAUGAAGAAAAUAAAUAAUCAAAAAUAACAGAUUUCUAAGCGC